rnacentral:tRNA from 1 species
UCCCUGCUGGCUUAGCAGUAAAGAAUCUGCUUGUAAUGCAGGUGACCUGGGUUCAAUCCCUGGGUUGGGAA